AGAGUUUGAUCAUGGCUCAGAAUGAACGCUUGCGGCGUGGAUUAGGCAUGCAAGUCGAACGAGAUUGUAUUUAUUCAAUUCUUCGGAAGAGAAUUUAUACAUGAUAGUGGCGAACGGGUGAGGAAUACUUGAGUAAUGUGCCCCUAAGCUUGGAAUAGCCACUGGAAACGGUGAUUAAUGCCAAAUGUGAUCGUCCCUUGCAUAAGGGACUGUUUAAAGGCAGGGAUCCUUCGGGACCUGUCACUUAGGGAUCAGCUCGAGGCCUAUCAGCUUGUUGGUGAGGUAAUGGCUCACCAAGGCUAAGACGGGUAGCUGGUCUGAGAGGAUGGUCAGCCACACUGGGACUGAGACACUGCCCAGACUCCUACGGGAGGCUGCAGUCGAGAAUCAUUCACAAUGCGCGAAAGCGUGAUGAUGCGACGCCGCGUGGAGGAUGAAGGCUUUCGGGUCGUAAACUCCUGUCAUAAGGGAAUAAUGGUUAGAGUAGUAAUACUGCUUUAAUUUGAAGGUACCUUAAGAGGAAGCCACGGCUAACUCUGUGCCAGCAGCCGCGGUAAUACAGAGGUGGCGAGCGUUAUUCGGAUUUACUGGGCGUAAAGGGUGCGUAGGCGGAUAGUUAUGUCAGAUGUGAAAGCUCACGGCUCAACCGUGGAAAUGCAUCUGAAACUGAUUAUCUAGAGUAUCGGAGAGGUAAGUGGAAUUCUUAGUGUAGCGGUGAAAUGCGUAGAUAUUAAGAGGAACACCGGUGGCGAAGGCGACUUACUGGACGAAUACUGACGCUGAGGCACGAAGGCUAGGGGAGCGAAGAGGAUUAGAUACCCUCGUAGUCCUAGCAGUAAACGUUGUACACUUGGUGUAGGAGGCUUUAUCCCCUUCUGUGCCGUAGCUAACGUGUUAAGUGUACCGCCUGGGGAGUACGGUCGCAAGAUUAAAACUCAAAGGAAUUGACGGGGGCCCGCACAAGCGGUGGAGCAUGUGGCUUAAUUCGAUGCAACGCGAAGAACCUUACCUGGGCUUGACAUGCCCGUCGUACCCGAUGGAAACAUUGGGGUCAGCUAGGCUGGACGGUGCACAGGUGCUGCAUGGCUGUCGUCAGCUCGUGCCGUGAGGUGUUGGGUUAUGUCCCGCAACGAGCGCAACCCCUGUGAUUAGUUGCCAUCAGAGAGUAAUCUGCUGGGCACUCUAGUCAGACUGCCGGUGACAAGCCGGAGGAAGGUGGGGAUGACGUCAAGUCAGUAUGGUCCUUAUGCCCAGGGCUGCACACGUGCUACAAUGGGCGGUAUAAUGGGAAGCAAUACCGCGAGGUGGAGCUAAUCCUCAAAACCGUCCUCAGUUCGGAUUGGAGUCUGCAACUCGACUCCAUGAAGCUGGAAUCGCUAGUAACGGCGCAUCAGCUACGGCGCCGUGAAUACGUUCCCGGGCCUUGUACACACCGCCCGUCACAUCAUGAAAGUCGAUUGCACCCGAAGUCGCCCAGCUAACCCUCGGGAGGCAGGCGCCGAAGGUGUGAUUGAUAAUUGGGAUGAAGUCGUAACAAGGUA
rnacentral:rRNA from 1 species